rnacentral:snRNA from 1 species
AUCGCUUCUCAGCCUUUUGGCUAAGAUCAAGGGUAGUAUCCGUUCUUAUCAGUUUAAUAAUAAUAUAAAGUGACCUUAAUGAAUACUGAAGGAAUUACCUGUCAAAUUCCUUAAAUAAUAAUUAUUUAAUUUUUUAAAAUGAUGAUGCUGCUGGAGAUUUAGCUCAGUGGUUCCACUGCCUGCCUUGCAAGUGCAAAGACCCAAGUUCGAUCCCCAGUAC